rfam:Ailuropoda melanoleuca scaffold594_20, whole genome shotgun sequence.
CCAGGGCGGCGGCGGCUGGGGACAGCCCCACGGGGGCGGAUGG